rnacentral:rRNA from 1 species
AACGAACGCUGGCGGCAGGCUUAACACAUGCAAGUCGAACGCCCCGCAAGGGGAGUGGCAGACGGAUGGGUAACGCGUGGGAACGUGCCCUUCGCUUCGGAAUAGCCCCGGGAAACUGGGAGUAAUACCGGAUACGCCGUAUUGGGAAAGAUUUAUCGGCGAAGGAUCGGCCCGCGUUAGAUUAGGUAGUUGGCGGUGUAAUGGACCACCAAGCCUACGAUCUAUAGCUGGUCUGAGAGGAUGAUCAGCCACACUGGGACUGAGACACGGCCCAGACUCCUACGGGAGGCAGCAGUGGGGAAUCUUGGACAAUGGGCGCAAGCCUGAUCCAGCCAUGCCGCGUGAGUGAAGAAGGCCUUAGGGUUGUAAAAUUCUUUCACCGGGGAAGAUAAUGACGGUACCCGGAGAAGAAGCCCCGGCUAACUUCGUGCCAGCAGCCGCCGUAAUAC